GCCACUUUUGCGCUGACGGCCUCAUAUGUACACUAUAAUUCCGUACUUACUAUUUUGUAUAGUUUCAUUAGUGGUUAUAAAAAACAUAAUGUAACAUAACACGUCAACGAACAUUAAAUAUACUAUUAAAACGGAUCUAAAUAUUUUAUGUUAAAAUCUGUAAGAAAGCACCUAAAUCGUCAAGUAACUAUACAAUAAAACGAACAAAGAAAGCGGAAACAUGAAAGAAAACCGAAUGAAAUCACCAUUCCGAACUAUUACAAGCGCAUCAACACAAACAAACGGACAUCGAGGGGUUCGUACAAUUUAUGCGCGUGCCUCCGAGGUAACAAAGCGAGAGAACAGAUGCUUGCAUGAAUAAAACAGUCGAGGGCCGACUGAAUAUUUGAGGACGAGGUACAUAGAACCGCACCGGCACGCGAGCUGGUCGAAGAUGCUCAGUGACCUACACGCACAGCUUUAUUUCGUCAUCGAUCCAGUAGACGGUAAACAAUAAAUUAUUUUGUCAUAAAGAAA